rnacentral:rRNA from 1 species
AUUGAACGCUGGCGGAAUGCUUUACACAUGCAAGUCGAACGGUAGAGGGGGGCAACCCCUUGAGAGUGGCGAACGGGUGAGUAAUAUAUCGGAACGUGCCCAGUCGUGGGGAUAACGUAGCGAAAGUUACGCUAAUACCGCAUACGAUCUAAGGAUGAAAGCGGGGGACUCGCAAGAGCCUCGCGCGAUUGGAGCGGCCGAUAUCAGAUUAGGUGGUUGGUGGGGUAAAGGCUCACCAAGCCAACGAUCUGUAGCUGGUCUGAGAGGACGACCAGCCACACUGGAACUGAGACACGGUCCAGACUCCUACGGGAGGCAGCAGUGGGGAAUUUUGGACAAUGGACGCAAGUCUGAUCCAGCCAUUCCGCGUGCAGGAUGAAGGCCCUGGGUUGUAAACUGCUUUUGUACGGAACGAAAAGGUUUCUAUUAAUACUAGGAGCUCAUGACGGUACCGUAAGAAUAAGACACCGGCUAACUACGUGCCAG